AUGCCCUGGGGACACUCUGGUCCUGCUGACAUUCCCAGAGUAGCCAGCGCAUUAAAAUGUAAUUUUAAAAGGAAUAAAGGUUUAAUCCAGUGGUGUUUGAAAACAGUUUUUUCCCCUUAUCCUGCUUUUGGCACGUCCUCUCCAGCUGGGGCAUCACACCUCGCUCCCAAACACGGGCACAGCUGGAACCACGGCCGGGCAGCCCCAAGCAGCAAACCAGCUGCUUUGGGCUUUCUGGACCCGUUGAGGACUUAUUCCUUUAUGGUGAAACAGUUGGGAACCGAAAAAGAAGAACCUCCUCUUGUCCAGAGGGAUGAUGAGCUGCUGGUUUCAUCUCCGGCACUGAUUUACUCUGUGACCUUGGUCAUCUCCCUUGUCUCCUCCAUAGAAGAUGUCCUGAGAUGCUCAUGGAGAUGCCACCAUUCCCAGCCCCACGGAAAGCCAAGGAUCGGUGUUUUUCAAGACAGUAGUCACAGAAUCAUUCAGGUUGGAAGAGACCCUUGGGAUCAUCGAGUCCAACCAUCUCCCCUACUCUACAUAGUCCUCCCCUACACCAUAUCCCUCAGUACCCCAUCUAAAGUCCAUCUUGAGUCCAUUUCUGCAGCAAAUGUCUGAUUAGAGGCUGCGACGGUGUUUUCUUCACAGGCUCUUUCUGCAUUCCUGCCUUUUAGUUCCUUGGGAAAGCAUCUGGUUUCCAGCUCCGGGUCUCUCCAAUCUGUCAUUUUCCACAAAUAUACAAACAUCCCUUUUUUCUGAUGAUGGAUUGGGGGGGAUGGUUGCACUUUGGCUUGGAUUGCACAGCCCGGACUGGAAGAGAAGGGCUUUGAAGUUGUGAAAACUUCACAUUCCAUGUCCUGCCAGCAGAACAGCGUGCAGGAGAGACACCAGUGCUUGGAAACGGCCACCCUGGCUCAUUUAUGCCUCAUCCAGCCUCACCCCCUAUAUGACCCACUCAUUUAAUUCACCUAAAGGGCAUCAUUACCCUCUGCUUACUCCACAGUAAGAGGGAGGGGGUUGGAUCUCACAUGGAUUUACACCAGGGGAUGUUCUCCUGGCCUCUGAGGGACCUCUUGGGACCACCGCUUAAAUAUAUAUACCCCACACUUAAAUCCCUGUAAUAAUACUGCCUCUGGGCCACUGGGGCUCCCUGUAAACCCACUCUGAGCUCCCAGAGGGACCACAUGCACAAAUUGCCUCAAAAAAAAAAAAACACCACCACCCUUGGAUUCAUUUCCACCAUCUCCAUCCCUUGUAUCCCAGGGAUUUGCUUUGGAGACCCCCUUCUCAGCGGCACCAGGGUGGCAGGAGCCGUGUCCGUCGGAGUGUGUCUCCCCAAAAGGAGCGUGAUGGGAUCUCAGGAACCUUCCCUUCAGUGUGUGGAAAAAUAUUAGCUGGUACCACGAUGAUUUUCUGCUGAUUUACUAGCCCAAGCCCUAAAUCAACGCUUGUCAGAGGCUUGAGUUACGUGCCUGGAGAUGGAUGGAACCAGCUGCCAGGAGGAAUUACCAAGCAGCAAACUCCAGUUUGAAAUCACUACAUUCUGCCUUGGAACCAGCUUGAAAUAUUCAGGUGAUUUAUACAGUAGGAAACGGCUUUAUGUCCUUUUUUUUUUACC
rnacentral:lncRNA from 1 species